UACGUAGGGGGCUAGCGUUGUCCGGAAUCAUUGGGCGUAAAGCGCGUGUAGGCGGUCCGGUAAGUCCGCUGUGAAAGUCGGGGGCUCAACCCUCGAAUGCCGGUGGAUACUGUCAGGCUAGAGUGCGGAAGAGGCGAGUGGAAUUCCUGGUGUAGCGGUGAAAUGCGCAGAUAUCAGGAGGAACACCAAUUGCGAAGGCACGCUCGCUGGGACGUUACUGACGCUGAGACGCGAAAGCGUGGGAGCAAACAGG
rnacentral:rRNA from 1 species